ensembl:lncRNA
CACAGAACGGAAUGUGCCAUUGAGGAGAAAGCAUAUACAGCAGCUGCAGUCUCCCAGCAGGUAUUUUCCCAAGCUGAGAUGCCUGGCAUUGCAACAUAUACUUACUUAUUUCUCAGUUUCUUAUCACUAACUGGAGGACCAAGAAGGUGUAUGUGUAUGCAAAGGGAAGAGUGCAGGGCACUACUGUUUCAUGUCUGAAUAGAGAUUAGAUCCUACAUGAUUCCUAAGAUCAAGGAAGCCAGAUUAGUUUUGAGAAUAUUCUUUACUCCUCUCCUCAGCUGCAUGAAGCAGAAUCUGUUGUACAGCUUCAUGACUGACAAAUGCAAAAGGAAGAUGCCAGAGGCAUAUUUGCUGCUGAAAGAUGAAAUUUGUGCUUUCAUAUUUGAACUGUCAGCUGUAAGCAGUUAGUAGACUUUGUGAUCAUUCAUCUCAUAGCAAUCACUAAACAUCCAACUGAUGGCGAUGAUUUCUCUGUUAUACUUCUGUUGGUUUAUUCAGGUUCCCUUGGCAGUAAUGCUUACUCUAGGCUAUAUUUAGACAUAAGAUGGAAGGAGACUUAAGUAUUUCAUUAAAUUUUCACCACUGACAUUUGUGAGUGAAGAAGAAGGAAGAAGUUACAGAUGAACCAAGUGUGCUAACUCUCAGGUCUUAAACUGACUUCUGAUGGUAAAAAUGGAGAUUAGAAGUUCCCAGUGCAUAUGAUUUUACCGUGACUGGCAUACAUGACAAGAAGAACACUCUUUUCCUACCACCUUUUAGUACGUAUUUCAAAGAUGCUGCAAAAAUUUUAUUUGCCAUCUGUUCAUUUCUAUAAUUUUGGACUGAGAAAUGAAGAUGCUGAACAUGAUGAAUACUCACACAGACCAGAAAUGCAGUGAUCAGGACUGUCCACAGUACUCAAGAUGUGUGGAGGAGCCUACUUAUCCAUCCCUUGAUGCCUGAAGUCUGAAAGAGAUAAUUGUGCGCCCACGUGGUUUGAGAAACUCCACAGUUUGGAAAGGCAAGAGUCAUUAAAAAUAACAUCCUCCAUAACAGCAAGAAAUCCUCUAAAAAGCUCGUAAGAACUGUGAUUUGCAGUAAGAGAUUCAGAAAUACACUUAUUCAAGAUGACAGAGGUGUUGCUGUGAACAAGAGCUUCUAGAACUGGAUGUUUUGAGAGAGCUACAGAAACGGCAUUAUUGAAAACCACUACAUGACUGAGGAACAUUACAUUGCAUAGUGACAUGUGGUAUGGAAUAACCCUUUGGCCAGCUUAGGUCAACUGUCCUGGUUCUGUCCUCUCCAUCUCCUUGUACCUCCUCAGCCUCCUUCAGUGUCAGGAAAGUACAAGAAGCUGAAGCAUUUUGGGCACAACAACCCCAAGCAACCCUACGGACUUGAGGAGGAAUAGCUGGAAAGCUGCCUGACAGAAAGGGACCUUGUUGCACUGAUGGAUAGCCAGCUGAAUAUGAGCCAGCAGUGUGCCCAGGUGGCCAAUGUAUCAGGAACAGUGUGGUGAGCAGGAUUAAGGAAGUAAUCCUGCCCCUGUACUUGGCACUGGUGAGGUCCCACCUCAAGUACUGUGUUCAGUUUUGGGCACCUCAGUACAGAAAGGACAUGGAAGUGCUAGAGCAGGUCCAAAGAAGGGCAAGAAAGCUUGUGAAGUUCUUGAAGAACGUGCCCUACAAGGAGUGACUGAAGGAACUGGGGCUGUUUGGUCUGGGGAAAAGGAGGCUGAGGGGAGACCUUAUUGCUCUUUUCAAAUCACCUGAAAGGUGAUGUCAUGGUUUAUGAUUUUUGUUAUCUGUAUUCCACAUCAUAACAUCAUGUAAAGCAUGUGGAAUUAGAGAGUCAAUACUCCAGUUCUGUGGGCUGACAACUUUCCAGAUACCUGGUUCUCAGAAGAGAGGCAGAACUACAUAUCACAGAGCACUUCACAUUCAGAGGGGAAGAUGAGACCCACAAGUCACAAGACUCUCUCUCCCUCACUCCCUGACAGUGUGUAUGUGUGCACUCCCCAGACAUUUCACCUUCAGUUCAGCAUAUGGCCUUUUGUUUUGGGCACACUCUCAUUUUAUUUGAUUUAUUAGCCUCCACUCCAAUCACAUUGUGUUAUACUCUAUUACCUUGUAUUCUGAUAUAUUUAGUAAAAUUAACUUUCCUCUUCAGAUCAUUGCCACUGUUCUGCUCUUGGGCCCUUCUCCCUACCUUUCCCCCUCUCCCUUUUUGGGCCCAUGGGCCUGCAGGCCUGCUGUUCCCCCUGUCAUAGACACAGAUUGAUCUAGAUAACUGUGACAGGUGAUUGCAGCAAGAGUGGUACUGGUCUCUUCUCACUGGUGACGGGUGACAAGAUGAGGGGAAAUGGCCUCAAGUUGCACCAGGAUAAGAUUAGGUUGGAUAUCAGGAAAAACUUAUUUACAAAAAGGGUGGUUAAGCACUGGAAUAGGCUCCCCAGGGAGGUGAUUGAGUUAGCCUCCCUAAGUGUGUUUAAAAACCAUUCAGAUGUGGUGCUCAGGGACAUAAUUUAGAGUUUGGGUAAUAUGAUCACAUUGCAAUUAAUUAAAAUUGCUCGCUAAUGCCUGUACUGAUGCGAUGUUUGCUUUUGUUACCUAGAGUUCUCAAGAAACAAUGGUAAUGUUGCCUUGCAUGCAAGCCUAGAACUGUUCUGAAAAGCUAGGACUGUCAAAAAAAAAAAAGAAAAAAGAAAAGCAGCUAGCCAGAGCAGGGCUGCAGUCAUUUGAGAAACCCUAUCUGUGUUUUGCACAUAGGAUGGAAAAGAAAUAGGCUUCAGGCUGAAAUUAGAGGGCAGGGUCCCACACUUCAAGGCACAAUAGGAAGUUAAAUGCACACAUGGUACAUGAUUUUCCAUUGACUUGCUCUCGAUUGCUUUCAACUCACCAGCUGGAUGAUUAGGAGUGUUCUCAGCAGGUGGUUAAUUUCUUUGCAUGCCAUCUAUGGGUGGAUUUUAUGUCUAUGCCCAGGGAGGGGGGUGGGGGGGGGGGGGGAGGAGGGGGUCUUUGUGUUCUUUAGGUACAACUGACACACUCUUGCUUUCACAACUGAUAGCAAUGCUUCAGAAGCAUAGUUCUGCCUGAGGUAAGAGGGGAUUUUUGAAGAACUAACCUGAGGAGGAUUGCAAAAUAAAUGCAGGGCAAUCAUUUUAAUUACAUAAGAUGCUGCACAUGUCUUUCAAAGACUUCUGGAUAACACAAGUGCUAUCAGUCUACUCCUUCCAGAGACUUAUCUUUAAAGUCCGGUGAUAGAAAGUGAGACAGAUACUGCAGUUUCUCUAAAGAUAGUGCUUCUAAAAAAAAAAAAAUCUUAGAGCUGCUAAUCUCUCAUGCUCUGCAUGCUGUGUGACCAGACAGGUGUUUUGUGAAGAACCCUUGGGGAAAGUCCACACUGAUAUAAAAAGGAAGAAGUUUUCAUUUCAUGAAUCACUAGAUUGGCAGUGAUCCAUUACAGCUUGUCACAGAUGUUAUGGAGCAAAACCAAGGUACUGCCCUGCAUUUUAUACCCCUGUGACUGGAAAAUUUGAACCCAGGGAUUUGCAAGUUGGGUGACUCUAGCUGUAAUCACCCACAGCAAUCUUAUUAACUAUUAAUAUCUUCAGCAUUUUGGACACUUUUUCUUAAAUGUCUUCGAAACUGGUUUUAGAUAUUAACCCUUUAAGAUUCUCCCAGUGUUAACUACUCUCUCCUGUCAGAGAAGUAUAAUGAUUUUGAGUAUCAUACAACAGCAUUAUUCAUGGAAUAAAUGCAGUAUCAAAUUGCUGUACUGAAGGAUUUGUGAGUUAAUCCCUGUACAGCGAUAAAGUAGCUCUCAGAUAUACACUGUAUACCAUAGAUACUAGAAAGCCUGGUAUUACUUUAUUAGUGAUAAUACUAGCCAGGGGACACAUUUGUGCCUCUCAUCAGGCUCAAGCCAGAAUUCCAUGAAUUUUCAGGAGAUACAAGUGGUGAAAACUGAGGUAGCUAAGAUGAUUGCAUUUCCUUACUCUUCCUGCCUCAGAAUAGUAAAGGACUAAAGGAAUGUCUUUAUGAAACAUAGAAAACAGCAUUCCUCCAGAAUGCAGAAUAUUAAUGUGGAUAAAGGAGGCUUUUUUCUAUCUUGGCAAUCAUUCUUCUUUCUUAGAGACUCCUCAGUGGAAGAAAUAUUUCCACAAGUUUUGAGGUAGCCAUAAUUGACUUUCUCUCACUAUUAUAUGUAUGGCUAUUGCAAGUUUUUACUGGGUAUUCUUUUAUUCCCUCCCAAAAUCUCUUCCUAAAGCUGUUGUGCCAGCCUCACAUUAGUAACUUGAAACACUUCCCUGAACUUUAAGGAUAAUGUUUUUGUAACCUAUUUGCAUAGCAUAAGGAUAGGUGGCAGCAGAUAUAGUUGCUUUAACCACUUCCGGAUCACCCAAGAAAAACAGUAGUCACAGUUCAGUAAAAAAGAAAAAAAAUCACUUACCCCUUUCCAAGAAUUAGAGCUUACUAAACACUCUAAAGAAGAUGAUCUCCAAGUAGAGAUACUUCCCUUGUGGCGACCAGACCUUAAAUAAGGUUAGGGAGUGGCAGACCCAGCGUUCACUCCUUUUGGCCACGCAUGUGAAUUGCUUCCACCUGUGCUCCCAGAGCUGGCUACGCCCCUUCACCAGGUGCUCAACCACUGCUUCAAGUCAUAACCUAACAUUUCCCAUACAUGAGAUAUUUGUACUAUGAGUUAAACAUAAAAUUAUCUUGUUUUAAAUGAAAUAAAUUCCUGAAUAAAUUGUAUAUAAAAAAUACUCCAUGUUGAACUUGGCCUUUAUUUACUUCAUUGUUGUAGGAUUUUCUUCAGACUGUUUCUAGCUGUCACUAGUGUCAUUCGUUGCACACUGUGUGAGCAGAAUAUAUUCUGUCAUUUCUGCAGAUAAGGUUUUUGACCUUGUGAAAUUCUGAAAUUUUAUUUCAUUACCUUGAAAGCUACGAUUUAGCAUAGUGAACAUCAGGCAAUCUGUAGUACUUAAUCUACUAGCUCAGCAGAACACCAAAUUAAUUCAAAUUUGAAAAAAACCUCUCCAUCUGUAGCAAAAGCAUUUUCUCAAUUACAUACUGAAUUAAAUAAGAGGUAGAAAUAUUUCUGAAAGCUUGAAAUUUAUAGUUUCAUUAGACUGAAAAACUAAACCUAAAAAUGUGUAAAAAUCUACAUUAAUCAUUUAGGUUUAGCACAU